AGGAGUAGACAAAAUUGUAACUCAAAAAUAUACAGCUUGCAUGUAAAUAUAACCAUUGUUGUAUUACAAAAGUCACAGUGAAACUUUGCAGAACAUGGAAUAUGCAAAUAAUAGAAAGCAGAGUGGCUCUCCAAAGUUCUCCAGCAACCUGUUGACUAGAAGACAUUUCUGAUUUUCUUACAAUAAAACAGUCCUCAAAGUGAAAAGAAA